CUCUUAAAUAUCACAAUUUUUUUAAAAACAAAAUAAUAUACAAGAGAAAAAAAAAUCCUAAAUAAGAUUCACUAAAUGGUAAAAUGAUUUAAAUUACUCUACCCUAAUUUUACUCUCUAAGUACUAAAUAAUACUUUUAACCUUACCCAAAGAAAGUCUUUUAAUUUGUUUUGUGAUUUUUUAAAACAAAAUAUAUUAUAUUUAUAUUUAAGGUAUUUCACAAUAUUAUAUAUUAAUAAAAUUAUGGAUAAAUGAAUGAUGAGAAGUUCAGGAUGAAGCUUUUAACAGAAAAUAACAGAUA